rnacentral:rRNA from 1 species
UAAUACGUAGGUGGCAAGCGUUGUCCGGAAUUAUUGGGCGUAAAGCGCGCGCAGGCGGCUUCUUAAGUCUGAUGUGAAAUCUUGCGGCUCAACCGCAAGCGGUCAUUGGAAACUGGGAGGCUUGAGUGCAGAAGAGGAGAGUGGAAUUCCACGUGUAGCGGUGAAAUGCGUAGAGAUGUGGAGGAACACCAGUGGCGCAGGCGGCUCUCUGGUCUGUAACUGACGCUGAGGCGCGAAAGCGUGGGGAGCAAACAGGAUUAGAUACCCUGGUAGUCCACGCCGUAAACGAUGAGUGCUAAGUGUUAGAGGGUUUCCGCCCUUUAGUGCUGCAGCUAACGCAUUAAGCACUCCGCCUGGGGAGUACGGCCGCAAGGCUGAA